rnacentral:rRNA from 1 species
UGGCUAACUCCUACGGGAGGCAGCAGUGGGGAAUUUUGGACAAUGGGGGCAACCCUGAUCCAGCAAUGCCGCGUGAGUGAAGAAGGCCUUCGGGUUGUAAAGCUCUUUUGUCAGGGAAGAAACGGUAGUAGCUAUUAUCUAUUACUAAUGACGGUCCCGAAUGAAUAAGCCCCGGCAACCUCCGUGCCAGCAGCCGCGGUAAUACGUAGGGUGCAAGCGUUAAUCGGAAUUACUGGGCGUAAAGCGUGCGCAGGCGGUUGUGUAAGUCAGAUGUGAAAUCCCCGGGCUCAACCUGGGAAUUGCAUUUGAGACUGCACGGCUAGAGUGUGUCAGAGGGGGGUAGAAUUCCACGUGUAGCAGUGAAAUGCGUAGAUAUGUGGAGGAAUACCGAUGGCGAAGGCAGCCCCCUGGGAUAACACUGACGCUCAUGCACGAAAGCGUGGGGAGCAGACAGGAUUAGAUACCCGAGUAGUCCAGCUGG